rnacentral:rRNA from 1 species
UACGUAGGGCGCAAGCGUUGUCCGGAAUUAUUGGGCGUAAAGAGCUCGUAGGCGGUUUGUCGCGUCUGCUGUGAAAACUCGAGGCUCAACCUCGGGCUUGCAGUGGGUACGGGCAGACUAGAGUGCGGUAGGGGUGACUGGAAUUCCUGGUGUAGCGGUGGAAUGCGCAGAUAUCUGGAGGAAUACCGGUGGCGAAGGCGGCAUCCUGGACCGAUAUUGACACUGAGGAGCGAAAGCCAGGGGAGCAAACGGG